UACGGGGGGUGCGAGCGUUGUCCGGAAUCACUGGGCGUAAAGGGCGCGUAGGUGGCGUCGUAAGUCUGUGGUGAAAGCCCGGAGCUCAACUCCGGGUCUGCCGCGGAUACUGCGAGGCUUGAGUGCUGUAGAGGGGGGUAGAAUGCCGGGUGUAGCGGUGGAAUGCGUAGAUAUCAGGAGGAACACCGGUGGCGAAGGCGGGUCUCUGGGCCGUUACUGACGCUGAGGAGCGAAAGCGUGGGGAGCGAACAGG
rnacentral:rRNA from 1 species